AAACACACAUUAACUUCAUUUACAACAGCCUUUAGAAAAAAAAGAAAAAUCAUCCGCCGCAUAUUGUUCAUCCCCAAACUCUCGCUCAACUCCGAUCGCAACGGAGCAAACGAUGAUUCGGUUAACAGGUAAAGCCUGGAGAAGGCGCGUGUGGACUUGGCGCGGAGGAGCAACACGCGUGGGGAUCUGGUUCGGCUGCAGCGUAAGGGAAAAAAGCUGCUAGGGCUGAGGCACAAGUGUUUUCCAGAAACCCCUAGGGGUUUCUGGAAUUCGGACCGUUUUGAUUUGGGCUUAACUGGGUUCAUGGUUUGGGUCUGGUAUUUGGGCUAAAUAGGCUAGUGUAAUUUAGACUAAAUUAGGUUUGGCUUUAAUUGUUGGGCCAUACGGGUUUGCUGUAGGUAUUUGGGAUUUAUAAUACUAGACACUAUUGUUUUUGGACUAUUAUUUUAUUUUAUUUGGUUUUUAUUUUUUUGAUUA